ACAAGCCUGAGAAACGGCUAGUAGGACUAAGGUCUGCAGCAGGCGCGAAACUUACACAAUGGUCGAAUAAAUGUUAAAAGACCGAUGUAGUGAAGAAAAAUAACGAUGUACUUGUAUUUAAACAUACUAGUACAAUUGGAAUGAGACGACUUUAAAAGGGUUAGUCGAGUAACAAAUGGAGGGCAAGUCUGGUGCCAGCAGCCGCGGUAAUUCCAGCUCCAUUAGCAUACAUUAAAGUUGUUGCGGUUAAAAAGCUCGUAGUUGAAGUUUAGGUGAUUAAUUAAAGUUAUCGAUCUUAGGAUUGAUUAACUGAUAUUGAUCACAGUUUCGUCACUUAAUCGAGUGCGAAGCGGGGUUGUUUAGCGAUCCUUCGGGAUCGACAGGCAACCAUGUUUACCUUGAGAAAAUUAGAGUGCUCACAGCAGGCAGUUGGAGAGUAAAAUCUUCUUUAUGCUUGAAUAAUGUUGCAUGGAAUAAUAGAAUACGGCCUCGGUUCUAUUCUGUUGGUCUUAUAGAACAACAAACAAGUUGCGGUUGACUAUUGGAUGGUUAAAGGUUGUGUUGUCUUGAAGUCAAAUUUAAGUUUACCGCGCCUCAUCCAAGUUAAAAUUAACCCAACUGAGGCAAUGGUUAAAAGAAAUAGUCGCGGCGGCAUCAGUACUGCAUCGUGAGAG
rnacentral:rRNA from 1 species